UAAUACGGAGGAUCCGAGCGUUAUCCGGAUUUAUUGGGUUUAAAGGGAGCGUAGGUGGAUUGAUAAGUCAGUUGUGAAAGUUUGCGGCUCAACCGUAAAAUUGCAGUUGAUACUGUCCGUCUUGAGUACAGUAGAGGUGGGCGGAAUUCGUGGUGUAGCGGUGAAAUGCUUAGAUAUCACGAAGAACUCCGAUUGCGAAGGCAGCUCACUGGACUGUAACUGACACUGAUGCUCGAAAGUGUGGGUAUCAAACAGG
rnacentral:rRNA from 1 species